CUACGUGCCAGCAGCCGCGGUAAUACGUAGGGUGCGAGCGUUAAUCGGAAUUACUGGGCGUAAAGCGAGCGCAGACGGUUACUUAAGCAGGAUGUGAAAUCCCCGGGCUCAACCUGGGAACUGCGUUCUGAACUGGGUGACUAGAGUGUGUCAGAGGGAGGUAGAAUUCCACGUGUAGCAGUGAAAUGCGUAGAGAUGUGGAGGAAUACCGAUGGCGAAGGCAGCCUCCUGGGAUAACACUGACGUUCAUGCUCGAAAGCGUGGGUAGCAAACAGGAUUAGAUACCCUGGUAGUCCACGCCCUAAACGAUGUCGAUUAGCUGUUGGGCAACUUGAUUGCUUGGUAGCGAAGCUAACGCGUGAAAUUGACCGCCUGGGGAGUACGGUCGCAAGAUUAAAACUCAAAGGAAUUGACGGGGACCCGCACAAGCGGUGGAUGAUGUGGAUUAAUUCGAUGCAACGCGAAGAACCUUACCUGGUCUUGACAU
rnacentral:rRNA from 1 species